CCUACGGGAGGCUGCAGUGGGGAAUAUUGGGCAAUGGGCGAAAGCCUGACCCAGCCACGCCGCGUGAAGGAAGAAGGCUUUCGGGUUGUAAACUUCUUUUGACAGGGAAGAGCAGAAGACGGUACCUGUCGAAUAAGCCACGGCUAACUACGUGCCAGCAGCCGCGGUAAUACGUAGGUGGCAAGCGUUGUCCGGAUUUACUGGGUGUAAAGGGCGUGUAGCCGGGCUGACAAGUCAGAUGUGAAAUCCGGGGGCUCAAACCCCGAACUGCAUUUGAAACUGUUGGUCUUGAGUAUCGGAGAGGCAGGCGGAAUUCGUAGUGUAGCGGUGAAAUGCGUAGAUAUUAGGAGGAACACCGGUGGCGAAGGCAGCCUGCUGGACGACAACUGACGGUGAGGCGCGAAAGCGUGGGGAGCAAACAGGAUUAGAUACCCCAGUAGUC
rnacentral:rRNA from 1 species